rnacentral:pre_miRNA from 1 species
CAUGCACCGGUGGGGUCCCUCGGCCUGGCCUGCACCUUCUUGCAUUCCAGGACUCCUCGGGGGAUGUCGGAGAGCUGGUUUUGGCCCGAUCCUGCAGGCCAGGCCGAGGGACCCUACUGGUGCACG